UGUCUUGGCUGGAAGCCGGUUGACCGUGCAGGUAUGAAUUACUCUCUGGGCUCUUCUCCACACGGUCCCCGUGACCUGUUAGUCCAGAUGGAGGGGAACCAUGAGCUCUUUAACUUGCAGCCUCCUGCUCGGUGGCCACAGGGAGCCUGGAGCUGCAUCUCCCCAUUGUUUAUGCCCCCCACCCCCCUAUUUUGAGAUACUCACUCUCCCGUGUGGAUGAGCUCACCCCGAAACUCCUGCGAAGCUGAGGAACCGAAACUGCAGGCCGGAUUUAGAAGGAAAAUUGCGCAAGGUCAGGCAUUUCCUAAGAGCUGCUGCCUGUGCGGCUCCUGAUUGGAGGCGGACGCCCGUCAUUCUCUCGCUGAUCAGUGGGCUGUGCGUGUGGACGUUUCUUCUAAGCCAUUGCCCUGGCUGUAAAAAUCGUUUCAUCUCCCGAGACCCAGUGCCAGCACCGCCUCCUCUGCAAAGCCUCCCCUGGCCCGUCUGGUCCCCGCUGCUCGCGCCCGUCCUCUGGGACGGCUCUGACCACACUGUGUUACGGAGCUUCUCAUGCCAGACUUCGGAGAAGCCGGAUUCUUGACCUUCAGCACUGAGCCCUCCCCCAUGGGCUCCACGGGACCAUCAGAGGGGAUGGCUCGCCCGCACCUGUGACCUGUGACGUGUUCCCACGACCACACCGCUGCUGGGCUGUGCUGGAGGCAGUGGUAUCAAGGCCACUCUUUGCAUGGCCGCUGAUGUGUCUCCAGGACUCUGCUUGACCAAACCAACAUGGACCCCGGGCUGGGGGAGGUUUCCACUUCCCCACCCACGGCUCAGGAUCUGGCACCAUCUCCAUCCAGGGCAGCAGUCCCAGCGGCCGCGCCUGCCUUUACUACCGCGUGCGUAUUCAUCCGCCUGUCUCCCCGCUGGCAGCGGCUGCCUUACCAUUGCGUGCGUAUUCAUCUCCCCGUCUUCCUUUCUCGCAUCUGCCCAGUCUCUGGGCCCUGCCCAGGCGUGUUUGUAGAUGCUCGUGGUGUCAGCAGGCUGGUGCUUUCUGAGGGCGUCUGGUGGCAGUGGUUGCUGUCCCCAGCCUCUGCCUGCCCCUUCCCUCGGGGCUCGCCCUGUGUGCAUCUCUGACUCCCAGCUUCCCCGGAGCAGGGCCCUGUCCCCGGCAUUUGCUCCUCCGUCUGCGCCUUUAGCCUGAUGAACAGCACCGGCCACAACCCAAGACGGAGGACGUGAUCACUCGUGUUCAGAAGGCGCCCAGCGGACAAGUUCUGCUUAUCCUCCCACGGCUCUCCCGACUGCCCGGCUGCACUGUACCACGGAGAGUUGUUAGUGCCUGGAAAACUCG